UUAUUUACUUCCGGUAAAGAUAGGUACUUCCUUUGAAUUCGAAGUGUGAACGACUUGGACUAAGAGUCAGAAAAAAGUGAAGAGUUUUAACAUUUUGAAAAGAUACAGCAGGAUGGAGGGUGAAGAAGAGGGAAAGAGGAAAAUGCCCAAAGUGGCAAAGGUCAAGAACAAAAUGCCUGCACCUGUACAGAUUACUGCUGAGCAGCUCCUAAGAGAAGCCAAAGAGAGAGAACUAGAGUUGGUGCCACCACCCCCAAAACAGAAAAUAUCAGAUCCAGAUGAACUUAAAGAGUACCAGAGAAGGAAAAGAAAGACAUUUGAAGACAAUAUCCGCAAAAACAGAUCAAUGAUGACCAACUGGAUCAAGUACGCACAGUGGGAGGAGUCUCAAAAAGAAAUUCUGAGGGCCCGUUCAGUGUAUGAGAGAGGCUUGGAUGUAGACCACAGAAACAUCACGGUUUGGUUGAAGUAUGCAGAAAUGGAGAUGAGAGCAAGACAACUAAACCAUGCUAGGAAUAUCUGGGACCGGGCCAUAACCAUCCUCCCGCGGGCCAACCAGUUCUGGUACAAGUAUACCUACAUGGAGGAAAUGUUGGGAAAUAUUGCAGGUGGUCGUCAGGUAUUUGAACGUUGGAUGGAAUGGGAGCCGGAGGAGCAGGCCUGGCAUUCGUACAUCAACUUUGAAUUGCGAUACAAAGAACUAGACCGAGCUAGGAUGAUUUACGAGAGAUUUGUUCUGAUCCAUCCGGAGGUGAAGAACUGGAUUAAGUAUGCCCGAUUUGAGGAGAAGCAUAGCUACAUCAACAGUGCUAGAAGAGUCUAUGAAAGGGCAGUGGAAUUUUUCGGGGAGGACAACAUGAACGAGAAACUUAUCUUAGCUUUUGCAAGAUUUGAAGAGGGACAAAGAGAGCAUGAAAGAGCCAGAGUAAUAUAUAAAUAUGCACUGGAUGUGUUGCCUAAAGACCAGUGUGAGGAAAUCUACAAAGCAUAUACAGUCCACGAAAAGAAGUUCGGAAGUCGAACAGCCAUCGAAGAUGUUAUUGUCAGCAAAAGGAGAUUCCAAUAUGAAGAGGAAGUGAAAAUGAAUCCUUUGAACUAUGAUGCAUGGUUUGACUACAUCAGGCUGCUCGAGUCCGAUUCGAACACUGAACAAGUGAGGGACACCUAUGAAAGAGCCAUUGCAAAUUUACCUCCGUCAAAGGAGAAACGACACUGGCGCCGGUAUAUCUACCUGUGGAUUAACUACGCUCUGUAUGAGGAGUUAGAGGCUGGGGACAUAGAGAGGACCAGGGAUGUGUACAAAGCCUGUCUGGAUGUCAUCCCUCACAAACACUUCACCUUCUCAAAACUCUGGCUUCUCUUUGCACAGUUUGAAAUCCGGCAAAAAAAUCUACAGGGAGCAAGGAGAGUAUUGGGUACAGGGAUUGGAAAAUGUCCAAAGAACAAGUUAUACAGAGGUUACAUUGAGCUGGAAUUACAGCUGAGAGAAUUUGAACGAUGCAGAAUCCUGUAUGAAAAGUUUCUAGAGUUUGGACCAGAAAAUUGUACAUCCUGGAUGAAAUAUGCAGAACUAGAGACCAUUCUAGGAGACACAGGUAGAGCUGACGCAAUAUACGAGUUGGCGAUCAAUCAGCCCAAGCUGGACAUGCCCGAGGUUCUGUGGAAGGCGUAUGUUGACUUCCAGAUUGAACAGGAAGAGUAUGACAAAACACGAGAGUUGUAUAGAAGACUGUUAGAACGCACUCAGCAUGUCAAGGUUUGGAUAAGCUUUGCUAACUUUGAGCUGUCAAUCCAAAGUGAUGAGGGAGACAACGUGAAGAUGGCCAGAAAAGUCUACAGUGAUGGAAACAAGUCGAUGAAGAACAACAAGGUGAAGGAAGAAAGACUGAUGUUACUGGAAUCGUGGAGAGAUAUGGAGAGAGAUCAAGGUGAUGAAGAAUCUCAGGUCAAGGUAGAUAAACUGAUGCCACAGAAAGUCAAGAAGAGACGGAAGAUCCAGACUGAGGACGGGGUAAGUUUGUUUUCUGUAAGAUGUUGUAACUGAAAGCUAUAAAAAAAAAACACAGGUAGAUAAACUGAUGCCACAGAAAGUCAAGAAGAGACGGAAGAUCCAGACUGAGGACGGGGUAAGUUUGUUUUCUGUAAGAUGUUGUAACUGAAAGCUAUAAAAAAAACACAGGUAGAUAAACUGAUGCCACAGAAAGUCAAGAAGAGACGGAAGAUCCAGACUGAGGACGGGGUAAGUUUGUUUUCUGUAAGAUGUUGUAACUGAAAGCUAUAAAAAAAACACAGGUAGAUAAACUGAUGCCACAGAAAGUCAAGAAGAGACGGAAGAUCCAGACUGAGGACGGGGUAAGUUUGUUUUCUGUAAGAUGUUGUAACUGAAAGCUAUAAAAAAAACACAGGUAGAUAAACUGAUGCCACAGAAAGUCAAGAAGAGACGGAAGAUCCAGACUGAGGACGGGGUAAGUUUGUUUUCUGUAAGAUGUUGUAACUGAAAGCUAUAAAAAAAACACAGGUAGAUAAACUGAUGCCACAGAAAGUCAAGAAGAGACGGAAGAUCCAGACUGAGGACGGGGUAAGUUUGUUUUCUGUAAGAUGUUGUAACUGAAAGCUAUAAAAAAAAACACAGGUAGAUAAACUGAUGCCACAGAAAGUCAAGAAGAGACGGAAGAUCCAGACUGAGGACGGGGUAAGUUUGUUUUCUGUAAGAUGUUGUAACUGAAAGCUAUAAAAAAAACACAGGUAGAUAAACUGAUGCCACAGAAAGUCAAGAAGAGACGGAAGAUCCAGACUGAGGACGGGGUAAGUUUGUUUUCUGUAAGAUGUUGUAACUGAAAGCUAUAAAAAAAACACAGGUAGAUAAACUGAUGCCACAGAAAGUCAAGAAGAGACGGAAGAUCCAGACUGAGGACGGGGUAAGUUUGUUUUCUGUAAGAUGUUGUAACUGAAAGCUAUAAAAAAAAACACAGGUAGAUAAACUGAUGCCACAGAAAGUCAAGAAGAGACGGAAGAUCCAGACUGAGGACGGGGUAAGUUUGUUUUCUGUAAGAUGUUGUAACUGAAAGCUAUAAAAAAAAACACAGGUAGAUAAACUGAUGCCACAGAAAGUCAAGAAGAGACGGAAGAUCCAGACUGAGGACGGGGUAAGUUUGUUUUCUGUAAGAUGUUGUAACUGAAAGCUAUAAAAAAAACACAGGUAGAUAAACUGAUGCCACAGAAAGUCAAGAAGAGACGGAAGAUCCAGACUGAGGACGGGGUAAGUUUGUUUUCUGUAAGAUGUUGUAACUGAAAGCUAUAAAAAAAACACAGGUAGAUAAACUGAUGCCACAGAAAGUCAAGAAGAGACGGAAGAUCCAGACUGAGGACGGGGUAAGUUUGUUUUCUGUAAGAUGUUGUAACUGAAAGCUAUAAAAAAAACACAGGUAGAUAAACUGAUGCCACAGAAAGUCAAGAAGAGACGGAAGAUCCAGACUGAGGACGGGGUAAGUUUGUUUUCUGUAAGAUGUUGUAACUGAAAGCUAUAAAAAAAAACACAGGUAGAUAAACUGAUGCCACAGAAAGUCAAGAAGAGACGGAAGAUCCAGACUGAGGACGGGGUAAGUUUGUUUUCUGUAAGAUGUUGUAACUGAAAGCUAUAAAAAAAACACAGGUAGAUAAACUGAUGCCACAGAAAGUCAAGAAGAGACGGAAGAUCCAGACUGAGGACGGGGUAAGUUUGUUUUCUGUAAGAUGUUGUAACUGAAAGCUAUAAAAAAAACACAGGUAGAUAAACUGAUGCCACAGAAAGUCAAGAAGAGACGGAAGAUCCAGACUGAGGACGGGGUAAGUUUGUUUUCUGUAAGAUGUUGUAACUGAAAGCUAUAAAAAAAAACACAGGUAGAUAAACUGAUGCCACAGAAAGUCAAGAAGAGACGGAAGAUCCAGACUGAGGACGGGGUAAGUUUGUUUUCUGUAAGAUGUUGUAACUGAAAGCUAUAAAAAAAAAACACAGGUAGAUAAACUGAUGCCACAGGAAGUCAAGAAGAGACGGAAGAUCCAGACUGAGGACGGGGUAAGUUUGUUUUCUGUAAGAUGUUGUAACUGAAAGCUAUAAAAAAAAACACAGGUAGAUAAACUGAUGCCACAGAAAGUCAAGAAGAGACGGAAGAUCCAGACUGAGGACGGGUCGGACGCAGGAUGGGAGGAAUACUA